rnacentral:rRNA from 1 species
AUUGAACGCUGGCGGCAGGCCUAACACAUGCAAGUCGAGCGAGCGGCGGACGGGUGAGUAAUGUCUGGGAAACUGCCUGAUGGAGGGGGAUAACUACUGGAAACGGUAGCUAAUACCGCAUACCAUCAGAUGUGCCCAGAUGGGAUUAGCUAGUAGGUGGGGUAACGGCUCACCUAGGCGACGAUCCCUAGCUGGUCUGAGAGGAUGACCAGACACAAUGGAACGGAGACACGGUCAGGACGCCUACGGGAGGCAGCAGGGGGGAAUAGUGAACAAUGGGAGCAAGCCUGAGGCAGCCAUGCCGCGUGUGUGAAGAAGGCAUUCGGGUGGGAAAGCACUUUCAGCGGGGAGGCGUUACCCGCAGAAGAAGCACCGGCUAACUCCGUGCCAGCAGCCGCGGUAAUUC